UACAGAGGGUGCGAGCGUUAAUCGGAAUUACUGGGCGUAAAGGGCGCGUAGGCGGUAGAUUAAGAUAGAUGUGAAAUCCCUGGGCUUAACCUAGGAACUGCAUCUGUGACUGAACUACUAGAGUAUUGUAGAGGGUAGUGGAAUUUCCGGUGUAGCGGUGAAAUGCGUAGAGAUCGGAAGGAACACCAGUGGCGAAGGCGGCUACCUGGACAGAUACUGACGCUGAGGCGCGAGAGCGUGGGGAGCAAACGAGG
rnacentral:rRNA from 1 species